rnacentral:rRNA from 1 species
AUUGAACGCUGGCGGCAGGCCUAACACAUGCAAGUCGAGCGGAUGAAGGGAGCUUGCUCCUGGAUUCAGCGGCGGACGGGUGAGUAAUGCCUAGGAAUCUGCCUGGUAGUGGGGGAUAACGUCCGGAAACGGGCGCUAAUACCGCAUACGUCCUGAGGGAGAAAGUGGGGGAUCUUCGGACCUCACGCUAUCAGAUGAGCCUAGGUCGGAUUAGCUAGUUGGUGGGGUAAAGGCCUACCAAGGCGACGAUCCGUAACUGGUCUGAGAGGAUGAUCAGUCACACUGGAAGUGAGACACGGUCCAGACUCCUACGGGAGGCAGCAGUGGGGAAUAUUGGACAAUGGGCGAGAGCCUGAUCCAGCCAUGCCGCGUGUGUGAAGAAGGUCUUCGGAUUGUAAAGCACUUUAAGUUGGGGGGAAGGGCAGUAAGUUAAUACCUUGCUGUUUUGACGUUACCAACAGAAUAAGCACCGGCUAACUUCGUG